rnacentral:rRNA from 1 species
GUUGUAUGGUUAAGUGACUAAGCGUACACGGUGGAUGCCUUGGCAGUCAGAGGCGAUGAAAGACGUAGUAACUUGCGAUAAGCCCAGAUUAGGUAGUAACAACCAUUUGAGUCUGGGAUUUCUGAAUGGGGAAACCCACGUGCAUAAGCACGUAUCCUUACCUGAAUACAUAGGGUAAGGAGGCGAACCGGGGGAACUGAAACAUCUAAGUACCCCGAGGAAAAGAAAUCAACCGAGAUUCCGAAAGUAGCGGCGAGCGAAAUUGGACUAGCCCUUAAGCUUUACACGCGUUAGACGAACGGUCUGGAAAGUCCGACGAUACAGGGUGAUAGUCCCGUAGUUGACGACGUGUGUUCAGUGAAAUCGAGUAGGGCGGGACACGUGAUAUCCUGUCUGAAUAUGGGGGGACCAUCCUCCAAGGCUAAAUACUACUGACUGACCGAUAGUGAACCAGUACCGUGAGGGAAAGGCGAAAAGAACCCCUGUGAGGGGAGUGAAAUAGAACCUGAAACCGUGUACGUACAAGCAGUAGGAGCAGGCUUUGUCCUGUGACUGCGUACCUUUUGUAUAAUGGGUCAGCGACUUAUAUUCAGUGGCAAGGUUAACCAUCUAGGGGAGCCGUAGGGAAACCGAGUCUUAACUGGGCGUUCAGUCUCUGGAUAUAGACCCGAAACCAGGUGAUCUAGCCAUGGGCAGGUUGAAGGUUGAGUAACAUCAACUGGAGGACCGAACCGACUAAUGUUGAAAAAUUAGCGGAUGACUUGUGGCUAGGGGUGAAAGGCCAAUCAAACCUGGAGAUAGCUGGUUCUCCCCGAAAGCUAUUUAGGUAGCGCCUCGGACGAAUACUACUGGGGGUAGAGCACUGUUAAGGCUAGGGGGUCAUCCCGACUUACCAACCCUUUGCAAACUCCGAAUACCAGUAAGUACUAUCCGGGAGACACACGGCGGGUGCUAACGUCCGUCGUGGAGAGGGAAACAACCCAGACCGCCAGCUAAGGUCCCAAAUUACUACUAAGUGGGAAACGAUGUGGGAAGGCUCAGACAGCCAGGAUGUUGGCUUAGAAGCAGCCAUCAUUUAAAGAAAGCGUAAUAGCUCACUGGUCGAGUCGGCCUGCGCGGAAGAUGUAACGGGGCUAAGUAGUAAACCGAAGCUGCGGCAAUGUGCUUUUGCACAUUGGGUAGGGGAGCGUUCUGUAAGCGGUUGAAGGUGUGUGGUAACGCAUGCUGGACGUAUCAGAAGUGCGAAUGCUGACAUGAGUAACGAUAAAGGGGGUGAAAAACCUCCUCGCCGGAAGACCAAGGGUUCCUGUCCAACGUUAAUCGGGGCAGGGUAAGUCGACCCCUAAGGCGAGGCCGAAAGGCGUAGUCGAUGGGAAACGGGUUAAUAUUCCCGUACUUCUUACAAUUGCGAUGGGGGGACGGAGAAGGCUAGGUGGGCCUGGCGACGGUUGUCCAGGUUCAAGUGCGUAGGCUUGAGAGUUAGGUAAAUCCGGCUCUCUUUAAGGCUGAGACACGACGUCGAGCACCUACGGGUGUGAAGUCAUUGAUGCCAUGCUUCCAGGAAAAGCCUCUAAGCUUCAGAUUGUAAGGAAUCGUACCCCAAACCGACACAGGUGGUCGGGUAGAGAAUACCAAGGCGCUUGAGAGAACUCGGGUGAAGGAACUAGGCAAAAUGGUACCGUAACUUCGGGAGAAGGUACGCUCUCGACGGUGAAGUCCCUCGCGGAUGGAGCUAUUGAGAGUCGCAGAUACCAGGUGGCUGCAACUGUUUAUUAAAAACACAGCACUGUGCAAAAUCGUAAGAUGACGUAUACGGUGUGACGCCUGCCCGGUGCCGGAAGGUUAAUUGAUGGGGUUAGACUUCGGUCGAAGCUCUUGAUCGAAGCCCCGGUAAACGGCGGCCGUAACUAUAACGGUCCUAAGGUAGCGAAAUUCCUUGUCGGGUAAGUUCCGACCUGCACGAAUGGCGUAAUGAUGGCCACGCUGUCUCCACCCGAGACUCAGUGAAAUUGAAAUCGCUGUGAAGAUGCAGUGUACCCGCGGCUAGACGGAAAGACCCCGUGAACCUUUACUACAGCUUGGCACUGAACAUUGACCCUACAUGUGUAGGAUAGGUGGGAGGCUUUGAAGCACGUACGCCAGUAUGUGUGGAGCCGUCCUUGAAAUACCACCCUUGUAGUGUUGAUGUUCUAACGUCGACCCCUUAUCGGGGUUGCGGACAGUGCCUGGUGGGUAGUUUGACUGGGGCGGUCUCCUCCCAAAGAGUAACGGAGGAGCACGAAGGUGGGCUAAUCACGGUUGGACAUCGUGAGGUUAGUGCAAUGGCAUAAGCCCGCUUGACUGCGAGAAUGACAAUUCGAGCAGGUGCGAAAGCAGGUCAUAGUGAUCCGGUGGUUCUGAAUGGAAGGGCCAUCGCUCAACGGAUAAAAGGUACUCCGGGGAUAACAGGCUGAUACCGCCCAAGAGUUCAUAUCGACGGCGGUGUUUGGCACCUCGAUGUCGGCUCAUCACAUCCUGGGGCUGAAGUCGGUCCCAAGGGUAUGGCUGUUCGCCAUUUAAAGUGGUACGCGAGCUGGGUUUAGAACGUCGUGAGACAGUUCGGUCCCUAUCUGCCGUGGGCGUUGGAAGAUUGAAGGGGGCUGCUCCUAGUACGAGAGGACCGGAGUGGACGAACCUCUGGUGUUCGGGUUGUGUCGCCAGACGCAUUGCCCGGUAGCUAAGUUCGGAAUCGAUAACCGCUGAAAGCAUCUAAGCGGGAAGCGAGCCCUGAGAUGAGUCUUCCCUGAUACUUUAAGUAUCCUAAAGGGUUGUCGGAGACUACGACGUUGAUAGGUCAGGUGUGUAAGUGCUGUGAGGCAUUGAGCUAACUGAUACUAAUUGCCCGUGAGGCUUAACCAUACAACACCCAAGGGGUUU